GGCAGUGUGGUGUAGUGGUUUGCAUAUUGGACUAUGACUCUGGAAAUCAGGAUUUGAAUCCCAGCUCAGCCA